CUCUGGAGAGCGCGCGCCAGCUUGAUCCCGGGAGCUGCUGCUGCUGCAGAGCGGAGCGGGAUGUCAGGAUUCCGGGCAUCAGGGUAUAAAGUUGCUAUGUGCUGGAGCAGGGCAGGUCAUCCUUCAAACACCAUCCAUCCCGAUGGAACAGGCUGUGGGCACCCAAUGGCAUGGUGCAUGGCACUGCCCUCCCUACAUAUUGGGAUUUCUGUGGAGUUCCUAUAGAAAGAUUGAGUGCCUGCUCCCAUGGAAACCAAAGGCAAAACUCCCAUUAGCUUCAAUGGGUGCAGGAGCAGGCCCCGAGUCUGCAGUGGAG